rnacentral:rRNA from 1 species
GGGCCCGCACAAGCGGUGGAGCAUGUGGUUUAAUUCGAUGCAACGCGAAGAACCUUACCUGGUCUUGACAUCCACAGAAGAACCCAGAGAUGGGUUUGUGCCGAAAGGAGCUGUGAGACAGGUGCUGCAUGGCUGUCGUCAGCUCGUGUUGUGAAAUGUUGGGUUAAGUCCCGCAACGAGCGCAACCCUUAUCCUUUGUUGCCAGCACGUAGAGGUGGGAACUCAGGGGAGACUGCCGGUGAUAAACCGGAGGAAGGUGGGGAUGACGUCAAGUCAUCAUGGCCCUUACGACCAGGGCUACACACGUGCUACAAUGGCGUAUACAAAGAGAAGCGACCUCGCGAGAGCAAGCGGACCUCAUAAAGUACGUCGUAGUCCGGACUGGAGUCUGCAACUCGACUCCACGAAGUCGGAAUCGCUAGUAAUCGUGGAUCAGAAUGCCACGGUGAAUACGUUCCCGGGCCUU